UACAUAGGGUGCGAGCGUUAAUCGGAAUUACUGGGCGUAAAGUGUGCGCAGGCGGCCGCGCAAGUCGAGUGUGAAAGCCCCGAGCUUAACUUGGGAAUUGCGCUCGAAACUACGUGGCUGGAGUGUGGCAGAGGAAGGUGGAAUUCCAGGUGUAGCGGUGAAAUGCGUAGAGAUCUGGAGGAACACCGAUGGCGAAGGCAGAUCUCUGGGCCUUACCUGACGCUCAGGUGCGAAAGCUAGGGGAGCGAACAGG
rnacentral:rRNA from 1 species